UUUCCGUAGGUGAACCUGCGGAAGGAUCAUUAUUGUAUAACCGAGGUGCGAGGGCUGUCGCUCACCCGAAAGGUCGUGCACGCCCGAGUGCCCUCACACACAUCCAUCUCACCCCUAUGUGCACCACCGCGUGGGUCCCCCUUUGGCUUGUUCGGAGGGGGGCUUACGUUUUCACACAAACUUUGUAUGCAGUGUAGAAUGUAUUUUUUGUUUUUGCGAUCACGCAAUCAAUACAACUUUCAACAACGGAUCUCUUGGCUCUC
rnacentral:misc_RNA from 1 species